rnacentral:rRNA from 1 species
AACUUAAAGGAAUUGACGGGACCCCGCACAAGCGGUGGAUCAUGUUGUUUAAUUCGAUGAUACGCGAAGAACCUUACCAGGUCUUGACAUCCCCCCGCGAUGCUUUAGAGAUAAAGCGGAGGUAUUCGGGGAGACAGGUGGUGCAUGGUUGUCGUCAGCUCGUGUCGUGAGAUGUUGGGUUAAGUCCCGCAACGAGCGCAACCCUUGCCCUUAGUUACCAGCACGUUAUGGUGGGCACUCUAAGGAGACUGCCGGUGACAAACCGGAGGAAGGUGGGGAUGACGUCAAGUCAUCAUGGCCCUUACGGCCUGGGCUACACACGUGCUACAAUGGUCGGUACAAAGGGUUGCCAAGCCGCGAGGUGGAGCUAAUCCCAUAAAACCGAUCGUAGUCCGGAUCGCAGUCUGCAACUCGACUGCGUGAAGUCGGAAUCGCUAGUAAUCGUGAAUCAGAAUGUCACGGUGAAUACGUUCCCGGGCCUU